UACAGGGGGUGCAAACGUUGCUCGGAAUUAUUGGGCGUAAAGCGCACGUAGGCGGUUUGUUAUGUCGGAUGUGAAAGCCCUUGGCUCAACUGAGGAAGUGCAUCCGAAACUGGCAAGUUAGAGUAUGUAAGAGGGUCGCGGAAUUCCCGGUGUAGAGGUGAAAUGCGUAGAUAUCAGGAGGAACACCUGUGGUGUAGACGGCUUUCUGGACCAUAGCUGACGCUGAGACGCGAAAGCGUGGGUAGCAAACAGG
rnacentral:rRNA from 1 species